UUGUGCGGGGUGGUACACACUGAACACUGGCGGCGAAGGGAAAUGCAAGAAGCAAAAAGAGAUGGGGAGAGAGCAACGUGGGAGGGUUGGAACUGUACUAUCAGAGUUUGCGAUAUGGCAGGAUCUCCUUUCCUCCUAAAUCGUUCUGCUUCCGAAAAACUCAUUUCCUUUGCCAUCACUGCCUCAUCUAUGCCUCGUUUCUUGGUAGCAUUAAACUCUGUCCGUUUAGAAAACAGAACAAGUUAUCGAGAAAAUUGACAGCAACGGGAGUUUAGAACGUGGCAACCAGCAAGAGAAUAAGGCAGGAAUUAGCACCAUGGACAGAGUCUAGCCGACUCUGAACAGAGGUUUGCGAAGCCUGGUAGUGUUUUCUGUCCCUCCCUGGAGACGUGGAAACUGCUAUUCUUGGGAACAUUUCGUGACACAGACUUUAAGGACGAGGCUGUCCUACUCCAAAGAAACACGUUUACUUUGAAUUAGGCUGACUUUUGCUAGGACCCGGCCGUCGUGGCAAACCACCAGGAGGGUAAGAGCCCCGAACUCGCUGCUCACCCUCCACUGGCCUUUUUUUUCCAUCGGCUCCUUUGCCCUGGUGAGACUGCCUGCCAUCAAAAGUGGUCAGGCAAAAUAAAUGCAAACCCAGGUAGUCAUUCCAAAAGUCUACUGAAGCUACUCCAGAGUUUGUAAUCCUCAAAAUUCCCAGCGAGAAUUGCAACUAAAACACCUACCCGCUCACCCUUGCUCCCCUCCCCCAAUUCUUCCUGGUUCCCACCACCUCCUGGCAAAGGGGCAAAGCCUUUUAUCUGAAGGUUGGGUGACCUCCGAGACUAUUUUGUAAAAGACCCUUUAUAUUGCAAACAUUUUCCAUUAGGGACAGUGCCAGGGGCGGUGAUAAGAAGGAUCAAUCCCAUACUUGACUUUGUCUUUACACUUUGUCUUUAAGCUCCUGUUUGAGGGAAGAGACUAAAAAGAGCAGACUCAGAGAAUUCCCCUGAAGGUUGAAGUUGCUGUUUACAAUUAAAGACACGUGAAUUGUGUAUUUAAAUAUUUUUUUUAAAUAAUCUAAUUUCCUGGUAAAUCUUUAUGACCAGAGUAGAUUGUCUCCCACUCUUCUACCCCACCUCCUCACACAUUUUUCUUUUCUGGCAAAAUUUGUAUGAGGUUCAUUCUCCUUAAGAUUUUUUGACUGCAGAUACUCAGACUAAAAUCUGUUGCACGUGCCCCAUAGUGUCUCAGAAAAUAUAUUUGCAGCUUUGGAUCCACAGUCAAUUUUGUAAGCGCUCCUAAAAAACAUCCUCAGAUUUCUUUUCCUCCCCUCUUUAACUCCGUAGCAACUUUUAGACAGAUAAACUCAAGUCCUUCAGAGCAUGCAAAUGGAGGUGUAGCCGACCAGGUAAGCUAAGAAAAACUGGAGGUGAGAAAGGGCAAAUAAGAGCUUUGUGUCCCUUCCUUUCAGGGAUGCUAACAGCCUUCUCUAAGCUUCCCCCUGGAGCCCACACAUCUCAUGUAAAAUUAAUACAAGUAAUUAAAAAUAGCAGUUUCCAAAGUUAAAGGAAACCAUCUGUCUCAGCUGGUGGCAAUCAGUCAUUUCGCUGGCCCCUUUACCCGGACCUGGAAAGAAAUGGGUUUUUUGCUUCCGAUGCUCGGAGGCUCUUUCUUAUAUUGAAGAUUUAUGUUUCCACUUGUGUGCGAUGCACGUCUAAUUUGAAAUAAUAAAGCCGAGCUGAGCAACCAGUCAAUCAGAGCUAUCAACUGCGCUCGGCAAGCAGCCCUGCCCCUGACUCCCUCCGGUCUCUAACCUUUCCCUCCUGCCCCUCUCCUUUCUCCCCCCUCUUGUGCCCUUUCACACACUAAAAUCCCUUCCCCCAACACACACACGCUGGCGUUUUUUUAGAUCAAACCCUUGCCCACAGAACAAGUGACCGCACCGGGGCACGAUGACAAAGGCGGAGUUUGUAUCAGAAGAAGACUGAGGCCCGGGGAGACACAGCGGCUAGAGAAACAGCUGUCUUAUCAGCCCGCUGCAGAGAUGAAGAUGGCUCGAGAGGUCCUCAACAGAUAAUCACUUGAAUAGGUUUGCAAGGCGCCAAACUUCACGCUUGAUAAGGCCAACCCAAUGUAGAGAGCAGCCCAGAUCCUGCUCCAUUCUGUUUUAUCUGGGCUGUAAAUUAAGAAAUUGAAAUUCAGGUGGCAGAGGCAGCAGUCUGCUGAUAGACCGCUAAAGUAAACUGUCAUUAAAAUGCUUUCGGUUGGCAGAGAGGGGGCGCCUGGAAUGGGAUGUUUUGUUUUGGCUUGUUUUGCUUUUUAAAUGGGAGUGGAGCGGUGAGAGAAAAAGCCCACGGGUUUUCAAAAUUACUGGGGGGAGGGGGGGGGGGACUUGAGGAAGUGUAGCAAAGGGACGCAACGUUUUUGGCCACGGUUUCUAAUCAUAGCUACGAGGCACAAACAAUUUGAAAAGUAUAAAGUUGUGUGAAGUUUGGUGUAAUCAAGAUUAAGGAACAAUUUAAACCAAUUUGAUAGAAAAUAGAAUCCUGUCUUUAUUUAAGGAUGGGCCAUAGGAAACUCUUGGGCUACAGUAUUAGAGACCAAUUCCAAAUGAACUUUAAAAUUUUCCCUUUGUUGUAAGAAAAUCAGAUCAACCAGAUACAGAGGAGUUACCAUCAACUUAAGGUUAACUUGACAUUUUGUUGAAGUUAUGGAGCCACCAGAGAAAUUUCAGGGUGAUUUUAGAAUGGCCUAAGUUGUUAACCACAGAAAAGAAUCUGCUUAGCUACUUACAGGAAUAAGAGUCAUAUAUCACCCCUCCCCUUUACCCAGGUAAUUACUAUGGGCUAAUUCAGGAAACAAAAAAUUCCACAUAUUUUGACACUACCUGGUUCUUACAGCACAGUGUAUAUGGCACUAUUCUGUUGGUUUUUAUGAAUAUAAGGCAUGAAAUUCUAUGCAUUAUUUGAAUAAAUGUUUCACAAAAAGCUUUAAAUGUACAAUCAUCAGAGUAUAGCCAGUGACCUUCUUGUUUCGAUUCACUAAUGACUUUGCACUGUACUUUGUUCUUUCUAUAGUUGAGUAGAUUGUAAAUUCACCAAUGUGCAUUUAUGAGUGCAUAAGUAUGAGAGGAUGCAUUCCAUUUUCCACAACAUCAUUUAUAUUUUAAGUUUUAGCAACAUUUCUAAAAAGGUACCUUCAGUUGAUAACACAUAGUAAUACACCUUUAGAAAAUCAAUCAGUUUUUACUUUGUUUAACCCCAAAAUGUUGAUCAACAUCAGAGUACAUUUAAUUGACAAUAUAAAGACUGCUCAAAACACAGUGGGAUGAGAAAGAAUUAAAAGUGAAUUGUAAGGAAAAGUGAUGAGAAAAAAAUGUAAGAUGCUAGUCUAUGUUCCAACAUUUAUUAAACUAUAGUGCUCCAU